CAGUACAUAAAUAAUGCCAAACACAUCUUGUAUUUAAGCCUGGCUUCCAUACUGAUACAGUGGAACCUUGGUUCUUGAAUGGCUUAGUUGAUGAACAAAUCAGCUUCUGAACGCCAAAAACCUGGAAGUAAGUGUUUCAGGUUUUUGAACGUUUUUCGGAAGCCGAACGUCCGAUGCGGCUGUCGGCUAUUGUUUCCGGGGCACCUGCACCAAUCUGAAGCCACACCUUGGUUUUUUAACAUUUCAGAAGUCGAACGGACUUCAGGAAUGGAUUGAGAACCAAGGUACCACUGUAUAUGCUUGAGCUCUUAAAAGUGAUCUGUCCCCAAACUGAGAAAUAUUUUAAGAAUAUGGGUGGAUCCCACAUAAGUAUGAUGUUCAAAGAGGGGAGAAGUAGCAACGCCACUACCAUUCCUGCUUUCAUUGCACCCAGGGGCUAUUUACCAACAGCGCUAGACAAAUAUGAGAUAGGGCACAACCAUUGUGGAACUUUGUGAUAGCGGGCAGCACCAAGGUCCAUAUUUCUAAGAAACCAUAACCAGCGCCAUGUUUCUAGAAAAAGAGGCGCCAGAACUCACCAUGAAUCCCUCCCUUGUUCUCUUAUAAUGGCAAUGGCGCCCACCUAAGAGGUGCCAAAACUGAGUUCCGGUGGGUUCCAGCUGAAAAAAAGCCCUGACCAUAACCAUAGUCUGAAACUUCUCUCUGUGCAUUUAAUGAACAUGCAGAUGGUGGGGGGCCACAGGCUUGUGCAUCCAAAGCCAAACCAAAUAAUCAGAGAAGAACCACAUACAGAAGCACAGCUUCUGCUUUGUAUGCAGAAGGUCUCAGCUUUCAUCCCCAGCAUCUCCUGGGAGGGACCCCUCCCUUAAACCCUGGAGAGCCAUUGCCAGUCUGUGUAGAUAAUACUUAGCUUGAUGGACCAAUGGUUUGACUCAGCAUAAGACAGCUUCCAGUGUUCCUUCCUAUUUUAAACACAUGAAUGGCUUGUCUUAUUAGGACUACUGUGGAGUUCCACAUGUCUGUCAGGAGCUCUCUCCUCUUAACUUUAUUAUUUUUUUCAGCUUGAAAUGUGGGAGUUCGUACAAAAGCACCAUACGAGCCAACAAUUCCUUUGCCUAGGAAAUCCUAGGUAACUUUGCAGAGACCAUAAAGGUAAAGGGACCCCUGACCAUUAGGUCCAGUCGUGACCGACUCUGGGGUUGCCGCGCUCAUCUCGCUUUAUUGGCCAAGGGAGCCAGCGUACAACUUCCAGGUCAUGUGGCCAGCAUGACUAAGCCACUUCUGGCGAACCAGAGCAGUGCACGGAAACGCCGUUUACCUUCCUGCCAGAGGAACGUUUACCUAUUUAUCUACUUGCACUUUGACAUGCUUUCGAACUGCUAGGUCGGCAGGAGCAGGGACCGAGCAACGGGAGCUCACCCCGUCACAGGGAUUUGAACCGCCGACCUUCUGAUCGGCAAGUCCUAGGCUCUGUGGUUUAACCCACAGUGCCACCUGCGUCCCUGCAGAGACCAUACACAAAGAAUAAUCAUUUAAGCAAAUUGCUGGGAUCAGGAAUGCCAAUUUGAUUAAAACUGGCAGCAGGGGGUGGGCAGGUAAGCUCCGCCCUGCAUAAUCAAUCACAGGAUGCGGCAUAUGCACACCAUUUGAAUGGCAGUGCCCAUUAACUUUGUGAUGGGGCUCAGCCCCUGGGAGUUGGCUCAUAUGGAUAGGAUGAGGUACACUUUAACAAAACAGGCCUUUUGCAGCUGACUUUAUUUAUUCUCAGACUUGCCAAAUGGAAUUCUUAUUGAUAGUCUAUAUUUUACAUGGAAGGGAUCUCAUGAUAGCGAUAUACAAUUAAGGAACCUAUUUUUUGCUUGUAUUUUCUUUGCUGUAUUUCGCAUGCUUCAUAUCUGCAGUGUCUACAAGCAUAUGCACGUACAUCUAAUUAAGAUCUGUUGUUUACGCUGAAGUGUAUUUUUUCUCCAGCUCCUGCUUAUCUUUCAUUUCUAGCUUCGCUUUGAUGAGGAACACACACAAACAACAGUAUAAAGAAAUCCUCCCUGGAAAUAAAGAAUACUAUAGCAAGGUGAUUAUAGCCUCUCUCCCUGGUGUGCUAGUUUGUUGCUUUUUUAAGUAUUUACUUACUAGAAGUUUGGGGGUUUUAUUUUUUAAAAAACCCAUGAUAUAGUACACUGAAAAAUGACAGGUCCAUCUCUAUGCGGAAGACUAAAUGAAAACAAAUCUGGCAUCAGAAAUGUCAAUAUCAUGAAAAAAGUGAGGGGAUCCGUUUCAACAUCCCAGAAUACUCUGUAAGGUGACCAUUCAGGAACCAAGGAACUUCAAAGGAAGAAGACAGCGUGAAACUGCUCAGUUGCAAUUCAUCAAGAAGUUCACAUGUGGGUUAAAUUGAGACGAAUUAAUACACUACAUGUAUUAAUUAGCUAACCAUACAUAUCUUUGACUUUCUUGUGAAUGAUUCCCUGCGCCAUUACAAGUGUUGGUACAGUCAUCUCAGCAAAUUAUCACCAAUCUGUUACUGUGAAAGGUAUGCCUAUUUAACAUAUGUUCAAACUCUAAUUAUCCCUAACAUUAAUUUUUGCCAAUCCACUUUCACCUUAUCCAUUUCUCACUUAUAUGCCUACCAACUAAGUUUUUGCUUUGUGAAUUUGAUGAAUUGGGUUGUAGUCCACAAACACUUAUGGCAAUAAUACUUACUGGUCUUUGUGACUUUUACUGAAACACAUUGCAAAGCAGUUUGCAAAUAAAACAAAGUAAAACAUUAAAAUUAUUCAUAAAAUACAGUGGUACCUUGUGUUACAGACGCUUAAGGUUACAGUCGCUUCAGGUUACAGACUCCGCUAACCCAGAAAUAGUACCUAGGGUUAAGAACUUUGCUUCAGGAUGAGAACAGAAAUUGUGUGGCAGCAGCAGGAGGCCCCAUUAGCUAAAGUGGUGCUUCAGGUUAAGAACAGUUUCAGGUUAAGAACAGACCUCCAGAAUGAAUUAAGUUCUUAACCUGAGGUACCACUGUACAGUUAAAACAUUCAAAACUAUGGGGUGUUUUCCACAAUAUUUCUAGUAGUUCUGCAUUUUAACACAUUAAGCAUUUACACAGUUUGGAAACUGAAGCUUUUCCCCCCUCCAAAAAACUGAUAACAUUGUAGGCAAUAAGUAUAUCAUGCAAAUUAUUAGUAGUAGUAGUAGUAGUAGUAGUAGUAGUAGUAGUAUUUCAAAUCCCAUCCUUUUCCCUUGUGGGACUCAAGGUGGUGCUUUUUUACUAUGGGGUCUAAAAUCAAUUGAUGAAAAAGCAGAACAGAACAUCAAUGGCUCGGCUGGCUAAUUAGAUAAAUAAUCAUUCACUAAACCUUUCUGUUUCUGUUUAGAUACAUAGAGACACACAUAUUGGAAGCUAUCCAUUUUUACUUUAAGUGAGGGUUAUGACAAGAAAAGCAAGCAUGAUAAAACAGGGCAGGCAACAGCCACAAACUUGAUUCACCGCGUUUACUGAACUCAAGAGAUCUAUUCUUAUCCUGGACUUUCAGAUGCCAUAUGCAAUAUAUGUGUUGCUUCUGUCUAGAUGAAAUAACAACCACCAAGCUACGGAGCUGUCUCAGUUCACAAACAGCCACAAGACAUAUUUCUUUCUCCAUGCUUAUUUUGUCCAUUUUAAAUUAGCUUUCGCACAGAGAGGUUUUCAGUAAACCCUAUAUAAUGCACACGCAAACCUCCACCAACAACCUGAGAAAAUUUAUUUUGCCAUAUGUACUGACUCCUAUCAUGAUUUACUGUAGUUAGUUGCCUGUUUCUCAAUAGUUUGCUGCUUUUUUUAGGGACAGAACGAAGUUUCAGAUUUUCUGUGUGUGCUCAAAAUUCACUUAAAGCAGAAUGCUGUAUUGGAUGAGCUGUGGGUCUGAUUCAGCAGGCUCUUCUAAUGUUCUGUGGCCUGAAGUUGGUUGGUGCUGAUAAUGCCAAGGUUGCAGGUUUGAUCCCUGUACGGGACAGCUGCAUAUUCCUGCAUCACAGGGGGUUGGACUAGAUGAUCCUCAGGUUCUCUUCCAACUCUACAAUUCCAUGAUGCUAUGAUUCUAUAAGAUGUUGCUGAACUACAGUUCCUAUCAUCCCUGACCACUGGCUAUGCUAGCAGGGCUAAUGGGAGUUGGAGUCCAACAACAUUUGGAGGGCCACAGAACAUAUGAAGAGUCUCCUGGAUCAGAACCAAUGGCCCAUCUAGUCCAGCAUCGUGUUCUCACAGUGGCCAGCCAGAUGCCUAUGGGAAACCAACAAGCAGGACCAGCACACUAGAGCCUCCCCCUUUUGUCGUUCCCCAUCCCUGACACAAAAAGCCACAAGGCUCUUUGGAUAACCUGCCAUUUAAAAAAGAGGGACUCUAAGGACUUGCUCACACUUUUCUGUUUGCCCUGCCACUUUCUGCAGAACGUGCUCUUUAGUGCUCAGUUCAAUCCAACGUCAAUCCACAGAAAACCUGACUGACAUUUACUCUGAUACAACAAUAAAGAAUGGGUUUUCCUGGGGGAAAGCAGCAGGACAAGUGGAAUUCUGGACGAGCCCUUAGAUCAGCUCCUCUUUUGCCUCUCAGCAGGGUUGUGCGUGACCUCACCACCUCAGAAGGAGGAUGGGGAAUCCCCAACAUAGAAGCAUAUUACAUUGCCAACUAUAUAAUCCCAUAUAUACUAGAAGGUGAGACAAAACAAUGGAUACACCUAGAGAGGGACACAAUUGAAAAUACCUGCACCACAGCAUACCCGCUCCUCCCAAACAAACUAAGGAAAAUUCACACAACACUUAACAGGUACACACAGACCAUGCUCAAAGCAUGGAAAACAGAAAUAGGCAAGCUAUCCCCAACCUCAUCCCUACUAAUUCCCCUGGCGUACCACCCAUUAUUCCACCAUGCAGCACAAAACCUCCAGAUAAAAACCUGGCAAACCAAAGACUUAUAUUGCCUAAUAGACUUUUAUAAGAAUAACAAAACUUUGUCAACACAAGAAAUACAAGACAAACUAGAAGACACCCAAAUGCCCUGGUUAGCACACCACCAAUUACAUGCCCUCUUAAACAAUCCAGCAGUAAAAUCAGCAGCAACUAGGCCCCUGACAACCUUCGAAAACCUCCUCCUAACAACAAAGGGACACGGUAAAGGGAUGGUAUCCUCAAUAUACAAAAUACUACUCCAAAAUCCCACAAACCCCCUAGACACAAUCAAAAAACAAUGGGAGGAUGACAUAGGCUAUGAGAUUAACCCCACUCAAUGGUCCAGAAUGUGGUCUAAACCCCCCUUUAAAUCCAUAUCAGCGAAAAGAAAAGAACUCACUCUGAAACUCACCUACAGGUGGUACCUAACACCAAGAAAACUAGCGCUAAUACGCCCAGGAUACGCCCAGGACCCUCACCAAAAUGCUGGAGAGGGUGCACCUCCAUAGGCACAUACCUUCACAUGUGGUGGGAGUGCCCCAAAAUCCAACUAUUCUGGACAACAGCCAUACAAGAAAUAUGUAAAAUAACUAAGCAAUAUGUAAAAUAAACUAAGAACAAUGCACAGAACAAUUCAAAUACACAAUUGACGAGGAAAUGGAGAGCAUUUUUUAUCCUGCCCUCUGACAACAGAAGCACUUCCCAGCUUUUCCCUUCCCAUUUUUAAGCCUUUGUGGGAAACGUCCCAACAUGUUUUCAGGUGUUUCAGAAGCAAAUUAUUAAUAAACCUGAGGUGGUUACCGUACUUAAAAGGCAAAAGGAGGGAUUCUUAGGAUGAGAAAUUCUCCAUGCCUGUACAAUGAAGCCAUGGAUAUCUAGAAUACAUUGAACAUUGCUGGUAAGGAAGGGAUUUCCAAAUUCAAUUAAACCUUCCAUUUUAGAAACAGUUUACAUAAUUAUAACUUAAAGUUACCAAGUUGAAAAUUAUAUACAUACAGUUCUGGGCACAGAUGAAAAGUUACAGUUACCAAAACUUUGUGUUACACAUAAUAUUGAGUUUUCUAUUACCUUAUUUUUCUCUGAUUCUUUGCCAAUCACUAGUUUCUCCAGACAAAGAAAAGCUAUUAUCUACUCACGUUUUGGGAACCAGAGCAAUCCUGCCUUACAUGCGAGUUUAAAAGGAGCAGCCUUUCAAACUAUGCAUUAAUAGAGAAUUCCUUGUGGUUAAGAUGGAAAAUAAACACUUUAGGUUUUCAUGCUCCUUCAUUUCAAAGAUAACAGGCUUGGCCAGUGUAACUGCUCUCAUUGACACCAAUAUUGCUUUUUGCUGUGUGUAGAAUUAUAAUGAGUUUUUUUAAAAAAAGGUUUUCAUUUUCUUAUUAACUGAAGUAUGAAUUGGAUACGUCCCUGCACAACUCGGUCGCUUUGAUUCAGUAGCCUGUUGUGGAGGUUUUAUUUAUUGUAAAAAUGUCCAUCCUACUGAAUCUUCCUAAAAGCAAGACAGCUAACAAAUCAGAAGCAGAAUACUAUGAAAGCAAACCACUAUCCUCAAAUUAAACCCAGCCACGCAGUCGAGACAUUAACAUAAAACUAAAACAAAUUGAACAAUUCCAAAAAAAAUCAUGGAAGAAACACAGAACUAUGCUGGUGAAGAAACUAAUUAGCCGAAGGCCCUUUUAAGAAGCCUCGUUUUCACCAACCACCCAGAGCAGUAUAAUAAUGGAAUUGGUAGGGUGGAAGGCUCGGAGACCAACAGUAGGUGGAGCCAGAGCAAAUGAAAGGCAGAGCAUCCUAGUCAUACUUUUGCCCCCAUCCUCUGCUGAGAUCUUCAAGCACAAUACUAAGACUAAGGAGGAGGAAACUGACUUACACUUCACUUAGCAAGGCAUUCUACAGGGUGGCUGCCACAGCAGAGAAAGUGCUAAUUCUGGCUGACUUCAAGCUCACAUCACAAGGUCAAGGGAUCUGGAGCAGAGAUUCUCUUCUUCUUUGGCGAUCACUCAUAGCUGAGUAAGAUUGUCUUCCAUAAACAUGGUUUUAACAAUAAGUCCAUAAGUGACUGUGGAGGCCAAUUCUGAAUCCACACAUCCUUCCACAGUGGGGACAUUGGUUCCUGGGUGGGAGUUGAUUAUGGUGUGGAUUUGCCAAGCGUGCCUUCCUCUUAGCACGUUUCUCCCUUGCGUCCUGAGUUUGAGUGUCUUCAAAGCCCAUGACACCUUUGGUAAAGGCUGUUCUCCAACUGGAGCGCUCACAGGCCAGUGUUUCCCAACUGUCAGUGUUUAUACUACAUUUUUAAAGAUUUGCCUUGAGAGAGUCUUUAAACCUCUUUUGUUGACCACCAGCAUUACGCUUUCCAUUUUUAAUAGAGUAGUUGCUUUGGAAGACGAUAAUCAGGCAUCUGCACAACAUGCCCAGUCCAACAAAGUUGAUGUUGAAGAACCAUUGCUUCAACAUUGGAGAUCUUUGCUUCUUCCAGUGCACUGAUAUUAGUUUGCCUGUCUUCCCAAGCGAUGUGUAAAAUUUUUUGGAGACACUGUUGAUGGAAUCUUUCGAGGAGUUGGAGAUGGCUUUUAUACGUGGUCCAUGUUUCACAAGCAUACAGUAAGGUUGGUAGUACAAUAGCUUUGUGAACAAGCAUUUUGGUUUCCCUGUGAAUGUCCCGGUCCUCAAACACUCUGCACUUCAAUCAGGAGAAAGCUGCACUCACAGAGCUCAGGCAAUGCUGGAUUUCGGCAUCAGUGUUGGCCCUUGUGGAAAAAUAACUGCCUAGGAAGGAGAAGUGAUCAACAUUUUCCAACUUUACACCAUUGAGUUGGAUUUGUGGUGCUGCAGACGGGUUAUUUUGUACUUUUUGGUACAGCACUUUGGUUUUUUGGAUGUUGAGUGAUAGGCCAAGCUUUUCGUAAGCUUCUGCAAAGAUAUUUAGGAUGGUUUGGAGGUAAUCCUCUGAGUGUGUGCACACUACAUUGUCAUCAGCAUACUGAAGCUCUAUGAUGGAAGUUACGGUAACCUUACACUUUGCUUUCAGCCUGCUCAGAUUGAAGAGCUUUCCAUCUGUUCAAAAUAUGAUUUCUACUCCGGUGGGGAGUUUCCCUUCGACAAAGUGUAGGAUCAUGGCAAUGAAAAUAAUGAAUAGAGUUGGGGCAAUAACACAACCCUGUCUAACUCCUGAUCCCACUGUGAAUGGUUCACUUUGAGAGCCAUUGUUAUCUGCGAUUGUUGCUGUCAUAUUAUCAUGGAGGAACCGAAUGAUGUUUACCCAAUUUUCAGAAGGACAGUCCACAGGGCAUUACGAUUUACAGUGUUGAAAGCCUUCAAAGCAUGUGAGGAGGAAUAUGUUGAAGAAAGUGGUCUUGAAGGCAUCCAGGUUCCAAGCUGGUGAGAGCUUUAAAGGUUAACACCAACACCUUGAAUUGAGUCUGAAACCAAUGUGUUGAAAAAUGUGUGAGGGAAUCAAAUUGCCUAGUACCUGUUUGUAAUCUGGCUGCAGCAUUUUGCACUGGUUGAUGUUUUGAAAAGGAUACAAUAGAUAGAAGUGGUUUGCCUGGCAGGGCAGAGCCACAUGGCACGCUUCCUGGUAGGAGAGUUGCUGCCACCGACUGGGAGUGAUAAAGGAAGGGAUGAGGUGGUGGGGAGGUCAGGGCGCACUGGAGGAAGCACCAGAUGGGCUUUACCAGUGCACCUACACAGCCCUGACUUGCCUGCCACCUUGCUCCUUCCCACCCACCUCCUGGUAAGCAGCAGCAAUAACACUUUCAGGAAGCUAGCAUUGCAGCUAGCCACUUCUAUGCAUGGAGAUUCCCAACCUUGAAAGAUUCCCCUCUCAUUUGGGCAGAUGAUGGGUGGGACAUACAGCAAAAUCAAACCCAGUUGUUGAAAGGAAAAUUCAGGAGUUUUCAAAUCACAUGAAACUGCAGAUCGCUGAGUGCAGAAUUAGUUCAGCAUACUUAGUCAAAAGUAGAAUUUGAUUCUUUGGGGCCAGCGGCGUAGCGUGGGUUGUCAGCACCCGGGGCAAGGCAAGUAAUUUGCGCCCCCUAACCCGGGGCAAGGCAAGUAAUUUGCGCCCCCUAACCCCUAACCUGCCGCCGCUGCCAGCUUCUUCUUGCUGCUGCCUGGUCUGGUCUGGUGUGGUUCUCUCCCGCGCUCAGCGCUGCGCUGGGCGGCCGCUGCACUGUCCCUCCCCCAGAUAGUCCCUCGCUCUCUCUCUCCGCACCGCACGCCUGGCACCCACCCCCUCCACAGUGGGCGGCGACCCAGCGGCUCGGAUCGGAUUCGCACAGCCAGCACUGCAGUGAGAGAGAGUGAGUGAGCCAGGUAGGGGCAGAGAGCUGCGAGUGCGAGCGCCCCCCCAGAUGUUGUGCCUGGUGCGGCCGGCCCCCCCUGCACCCCCCACGCUACGCCACUGUUUGGGGCUAAAGAAAUAAAUGAAAUAUGGGCUUGAUUAAGAUAGAAUUGUAGGUAUUAUCUGCAAAGUUUUAUUAACCUUGCAGUGCUUUUGAGCAUUUGUUCUCAAUGCUUUCUGAAAUCUCAGUUCUUGAGAAAAUCCAUUCCUGCUGGGACUGCAAGUGCCAUUUCUCAGUUUCAAACCCUUUUUGAGUUGGGAGGUUCACCUUACCUCUGGGAAAGCACUGCAAAAACAUUUCUGCAAAUACUGCUUUAAAAACAUUGUUUGCCUCUCCCAUGAGUCGGGCUCCCACUCACUGUUCCAUCAAAUAAGCUUAAUGGCCAAAAUACUGACUGGAACAAUAAACUGUAAAAGGAAAAUGUUUCCUUUUUAUUUAUUUAUUUUGCUUUUAAUAUGUUCCCUAUUUGCUUUUCCCAGUCAGACACCUCAAAACUUCAGGGUCUAAAAUCAGGCAAUAAAAUGUGCUUGUGG